UACGUAGGGGCGAGCGUUGUCCGGAAUUACUGGGCGUAAAGAGCACGUAGGCGGGUAUUUAAGUCAGUUGUGAAAGACCGCAGCUUAACUGCGGGGUUGCAAAUGAAACUGGGUAUCUUGAGGGCAGGAGAGGUUAGUGGAAUUCCUAGUGUAGCGGUGAAAUGCGUAGAUAUUAGGAGGAACACCAGUAGCGAAGGCGGCUCUCUGGACUGUAACUGACGCUGAGGCACGAAAGCGUGGGGAGCAAACAGGAUUAGAUACCCUCGUAGUCCCUGA
rnacentral:rRNA from 1 species